UACAGAGGGGGCAAGCGUUGUUCGGAAUUACUGGGUGUAAAGCGUGCGUAGACGGUUAUGUAAGUCAGGUGUGAAAGCCCCGGGCUCAACCUGGGAAUUGCAUUUGAGACUGCAUAGCUAGGGUGCGGAAGAGGGAAGCGGAAGUUUCCGGUGUGAGCGGUGAAAUGCGUAGAGUAUCGGAAAGGAACAUCAGUGGCGAAAGCGGCUUCCUGGUCCAGCACCGA
rnacentral:rRNA from 1 species